rnacentral:misc_RNA from 1 species
GGGGGGGGGAGCAAAGGAAAAGCUGUGUGCGGGGAAGGAGGCCUCGGCACGGCGGCCAUGGCUGGAUAGAGAGCAGAGCAGGGGCGCGGCACCAGGAGAUGGCAGAGGGAAGGUCGCCGCGAGGCAGCAGGGGAGCUCGCGGGGAAGGGAUCUCGGCAUGGCAGCCAUGGCCAAGAGAGAGGGAGCUAGGUGCCGAGUUGGAGGAACAGAGGCCGGGGCGAGCGAACACCAGAGGAGGGCGACAACAUAUGGAGGAUAAGGCUCCUGCGCGCGUAGGAGCCGAAGGCCGAGCGCUAGAAGUCACGGCGCUGGAGGGCGAGCUGAGGGGCGUGACUAUGGUUGGAGUAGAGGAGGAAAGUGCUGCUGGGGGAAGCGAAGCGCCAUGGCUGGAGCUCCAAAUCCGGCGCGCGGAAACCGAAGGCAGGGCGCCCGGGCACUGGAUCCGAGCCAGGGGCGACGGGGAAGCUCCACGACGGCCAGGGAUCAGGAACCAGGGCGGCGACGCAUGAGAGAUGGAGCGUGCAGGGGAGGGGCACGCGCCGUAGGAGACGCAGGGCGCCGGCAGGGAGACGAAGCAGAGAGAGAGCAGACACGGUUCAGAUUUCAGAAAAAUAAAUCACUGACGAGAGGAUAAAAGAACAACUGCACCCAGUGAAAAAAAAAUCUGAGGGCAAGUGGCGUGGAGGAUGAGGAUCGGCCGAAAAAAUAUCAAGGGGGACCACGACGACUAAAUAGUCCACAAUACUUGCGACAUGGUUUAAUUUGAUUCGAGACACGAUAAAUUUAUCUGCGGUCUAAACAUCCAGUUUCAUGGUUACAGGCAAUUUGUAUGAUAAUGAGAUCUCAAUUAUAAUUCCUUGAUUAUUAUCCUCGCAC